rnacentral:rRNA from 1 species
GAUGAACGCUGGCGGCGUGCCUAAUACAUGCAAGUCGAGCGAACGGACGAGAAGCUUGCUUCUCUGAUGUUAGCGGCGGACGGGUGAGUAACACGUGGAUAACCUACCUAUAAGACUGGGAUAACUUCGGGAAACCGGAGCUAAUACCGGAUAAUAUUUUGAACCGCAUGGUUCAAAAGUGAAAGACGGUCUUGCUGUCACUUAUAGAUGGAUCCGCGCUGCAUUAGAUAGUUGGUAAGGUAACGGCUUACCAAGGCAACGAUGCAUAGCCGACCUGAGAGGGUGAUCCGCCACACUGAAACUGAGACACGGUCCAGACUCCUACGGGAGGCAGCAGUAGGGAAUCUUACGCAAUGGGCGAAAGCCUGACGGAGCAACGCCGCGUGAGUGAUGAAGGUCUUCGGAUCGGAAAACUCUGUUAUUAGGGAAGAACAUAUGUGUAAGUAACUGUGCACAUCUUGACGGUACCUAAUCAGAAAGCCACGGCUAACUACGUG